UACGUAGGUGGCAAGCGUUGUCCGGAAUUAUUGGGCGUAAAGCGCGCGCAGGCGGCCUCUUAAGUCUGAUGUGAAAGCCCCCGGCUCAACCGGGGAGGGCCAUUGGAAACUGGGAGGCUUGAGUAUAGGAGAGAAGAAUGGAAUUCCACGUGUAGCGGUGAAAUGCGUAGAGAUGUGGAGGAACACCAGUGGCGAAGGCGACUCUUUGGCCUAUAACUGACGCUGAGGCGCGAAAGCGUGGGGAGCAAACAGG
rnacentral:rRNA from 1 species